rnacentral:lncRNA from 1 species
UUUAUAACACCGUUUAAAGGCAAACAAAAGGAAAUUGCUUGUGCCAGAUGGGGUACGGAAGGCAUUGUGAAUGAAAAUGAGCAUCUCUUUUCUGCUUAAAUUAAAUUAUAUAAUGAAGGUGAACAUUUCUUGUAAACCAUAAAGUAUAUGCAUACAACCUUUCAUUUUGUGGUUUAUCUUUCUGGAAUUAGUCUAGAAAUUGUCUCCAAUUUUGCCUCGUAUUUUAUCUGAACUGUUGGUUCACAGCUGCUGGCUUUCUUUUUCUUGUAACCUCACGUAUUUUCAUGAAUAACAUUUCAAAUCUAAUCAUUGAUGUUGCAGCUGAUGGUGAUCUCUCUCUGCUCUAAGCACCUAUAAUAGUUAUUUAGCACUUAUGCUAUGCCACCAUUUAUCUUCGUUGCCUAUAUCCUCUCUACUUGGCUGUAACAUCAACUCUUGAAUAUUAACACUUGUACUAAAAAGACUACUACUAAUAGCUAACAUUUAUGGUUUACUGUAUGCCAGGCACUGUACUAAGCAUUUUAAAUGGACUAUUAAAUUUAAUAAGAAGCAGGAAACACAUUGUGUUUUACAGUGGGAUCACAUAAUACAUUUAUUAUAUAAUAU